CCUACGGGGGGCAGCAGUGAGGAAUAUUGGUCAAUGGGCGGGAGCCUGAACCAGCCAAGCCGCGUGAGGGAAGAAGGUACAGCGUAUCGUAAACCCCUUUUGUCAGGGAACAAAGGCGGGGACUAGUCCCUGGAUGAGUGUACCUGAAGAAAAAGCAUCGGCUAACUCCGUGCCAGCAGCCGCGGUAAUACGGAGGGGGCAAGCGUUAUCCGGAUUUACUGGGUGUAAAGGGAGCGCAGACGGCAGUGCAAGUCUGGAGUGAAAGCCCGGGGCCCAACCCCGGAACUGCGCUGGAAACUGUGCGGCUAGAGUACUGGAGGGGCAGGCGGAAUUCCUAGUGUAGCGGUGAAAUGCGUAGAUAUUAGGAGGAACACCAGUGGCGAAGGCGGCCUGCUGGACAGUAACUGACGUUGAGGCUCGAAAGCGUGGGGAGCAAACAGGAUUAGAUACCCCUGUAGUC
rnacentral:rRNA from 1 species